rnacentral:rRNA from 1 species
UACGGAGGGUGCAAGCGUUAAUCGGAAUUACUGGGCGUAAAGCGUGCGUAGGCGGUUCGUUAAGUCUGUUGUGAAAGCCCCGGGCUCAACCUGGGAAUGGCAAUGGAUACUGGCGAGCUAGAGUGUGUCAGAGGAUGGUGGAAUUCCCGGUGUAGCGGUGAAAUGCGUAGAGAUCGGGAGGAACAUCAGUGGCGAAGGCGGCCAUCUGGGACAACACUGACGCUGAGGAGCGAAAGUGUGGGGAGCGAACAGG